rnacentral:sRNA from 1 species
AAAAAUUAAGAAAAAAGAGGGAUGCAACACGAGGACUUCCCGGGAGGUCACCCAUUGUAGUACUACUCUCGCCCAAGCACGCUUAACUGCGGAGUUUUGAUGGGAUCCAGUAUAUUAGUGCUCGUAUGAUCGCAUCCGUUAGUAUAUGCAAUGCAAUCGUAUAUAUUCUUUUUUGAAGACUUGAUGAACCAUUCGUCAUGGGUCCCACCCGCUAUGUAGGGAUACGCCAUCUAGUCUUAACGAGCUUUGAUGCAUGAAAAAAUUCUAGAACAAUGCUUUAACAAGUAAUUUUGGGUCUGUAAUAUAACCCAAAUCACAAAAAUGCCCAAAAAAGUACUUAAAGGUCAAAAUUUGGGGUUGACAAAAAGUCAAUAAAAUAGUUCCAUUGUCCUGCUUCUUUCGUUGGAAGGCUCUCUUUGGGCUUUCUGAAAGGUAGCACAUGCCAAGUUUGACCUCACGGUAUAAAAGUUAUAGAGUCAUAAAGUUUUAACCAAAAAAAAAAUAAAUUAAAAAAAAGAGGGAUGCAACACGAGGACUUCCCGGGAGGUCACCCAUCCUAGAACAACUCUCCCCCAAGCACGCUUAACUAAAGGUCAAAAUUUGGAGUCGACAAAAAACAAUGGAUAUGUUCCAUUGUCCUGCUUCUUUCAUUUGAGGGCUCUCUUUGGGCUUUACGAAAAGGUAUCAAAUGCCAAGUUUGGCCUCACUGUAUAAAAGUUAUAGAGUCAUACAGUUUUAAUCAAAGAAAAAAAUUUAAAAAAAAAAAAGAAUGAAACACGAGGACUUCCCGGGAGGUCACCCAUACUAGUACUACUCUCACCCAAGCACGCUUAACUGCGGUGUUCUGAUGGGAUCCGGUGUAUUAGUGCUUUUAUGAUCGCAUCCGUUAGUAUAUGCAAUGCAAUCGUAUAUAUUCUUUUUUAAAGACUUGAUGAACCAUUCGCCAUGGGUUCCACCCGCUAUGUAGGGAUACCCCAUCUAUUUUUAACGAGCUUUGAUGCAUGAAAAAAUUCUAAAACAAUGCUUGAACAAGUAAUUUUGGGUCCGUAAUAUAGCCCAAAUCACAAAAAUGCUCGAAAGAGUACUUAAAGGUCAAAAUUUGGGAUCGACAAAAAGUCAAUGGAAAAGUUCCUUUGUCCUGCUUCUUUCGUCGGAGGGCUCUCUUUGGGCUUUACGAAAAGGUAUCACAUGCCAAGUUUGGCCUCACGGUAUAAAAGUUAUAGAAUCAUAAAGUUUUAACCAAAAAAAACAAAUUAAAAAAAAAAGGGAUGCAACACGAGGACUUCCCGGGAGGUCACCCGUCCUAGUACUACUCUCCCCCAAGCACGCUUAACUAAAGGUCAAAAUUUGGAGUUGACAAAAA